CAUCUGCUUCCUGCCCUCCCCCCAUGAAGAUUCCUUUCUCCACCCUAAUCCCUUGUUCAGAGACUCAAGAUAAUGAAAUCAAGAAGUUUUGGAUCGUUCUUCUUGCUGCUUGAGAUUUAUUUGUCGACUACCCUGGGAUGGAUGCGUUCAGAGACAAGCAGAAGUGUUUCCUCAGAUGUGGGAGGGCUGCAAAAGAAGGAACUUAGAAGCCUUGAAGUAACAAGAAGAAAAGGUAAGAAAGCAUUUCUAUCAGCUGUUGUCAUUGGGAAGUAAUUUUCUCCAGCUGAAGGAAACUGCAGAUUUGCUG
rnacentral:lncRNA from 1 species